UACGUAGGGGGCAAGCGUUGUCCGGAUUUAUUGGGCGUAAAGAGCGUGUAGGCGGCUUGGUAGGUCCGCUGUGAAAACUCGAGGCUCAACCUCGAGAUGUCGGCGGAAACCACUUGGCUAGAGUCCGGAAGAGGAGAGUGGAAUUCCCGGUGUAGCGGUGAAGUGCGCAGAUAUCGGGAAGAACACCUAUGGCGAAGGCAGCUCUCUGGGACGGUACUGACGCUGAGACGCGAAAGCGUGGGGAGCGAACAGG
rnacentral:rRNA from 1 species